UGGAAAGUCCACGUUUUUUUGCCAACAGCUU
rnacentral:piRNA from 1 species